AGAGUUUGAUCAUGGCUCAGAUUGAACGCUGGCGGCAUGCCUUACACAUGCAAGUCGAACGGCAGCGCGGGGCAACCUGGCGGCGAGUGGCGAACGGGUGAGUAAUAUAUCGGAACAUACCCUAGAGUGGGGGAUAACGUAGCGAAAGUUACGCUAAUACCGCAUACGCACUAAGGUGGAAAGUGGGGGAUCUUCGGACCUCAUGCUCAUGGAGUGGCCGAUAUCUGAUUAGCUAGUUGGUGAGGUAAAGGCUCACCAAGGCGACGAUCAGUAGCUGGUUUGAGAGAACGACCAGCCACACUGGAACUGAGACACGGUCCAGACUCCUACGGGAGGCAGCAGUGGGGGAAUUUUGGACAAUGGGGGCAACCCUGAUCCAGCAAUGCCGCGUGAGUGAAGAAGGCCUUCGGGUUGUAAAGCUCUUUUGUCAGGGAAGAAACGGUGAGUUCUAAUAAAGCUUGCUAAUGACGGUACCUGAAGAAUAAGCACCGGCUAAUUACGUG
rnacentral:rRNA from 1 species